rnacentral:misc_RNA from 1 species
GAUGAAGAACGUAGCGAAAUGCGAUAAUUAAUGUGAAUUGCAGAAUUCAGUGAAUCAUCGAAUCUUUGAACGCACAUUGCGCCCGCCAGUAUUCUGGCGGGCAUGCCUGUCCGAGCGUCAUUUCAACCCUCGAACCCCUCCGGGGGGUCGGCGUUGGGGACCUCGGGAGCCCCUAAGACGGGAUCCCGGCCCCGAAAUACAGUGGCGGUCUCGCCGCAGCCUCUCCUGCGCAGUAGUUUGCACAACUCGCACCGGGAGCGCGGCGCGUCCACGUCCGUAAAACACCCAACUUCUGAAAUGUUGACCUCGGAUCAGGUAGGAAUACCCGCUGAACUUAAGCAUAUCAAUAAGCGGAGGA